UCUCAUCACGGCCGUCCCUCCGCGCAUGCGGAGAGAGUCGUGACGUCACGCGUGCCGUGGCGUAACCUCGUCAGUUGCAAGUCUGACCCCCUGCAAGUAUCUUGGGAUUCCUUGCAGACUUUGUUACCAGGUCCGUCACUUUGCUCCCAGGAUUCAGGCAUGCCACGUUUUUUUAUCUGAUCUGGUGUUGGACGUCACCAAACAAUUCCGGAUGGACUAAAGGCCAAUCAGAUUUCUCCAGUAAGUUUCUCUCAAGACAGACUGUGCUUCUAGUGGAUUGAAUGCAGUUAAUGAAAUUCAUGAAUAAAUGGAACUGGUUCCUUUGCAAGUAUGCAGUAUUUCUGCCUUCUUUAAAAAGCAAUUUAUCUUUAUUGGUUAAUUCCUUGAACUGAAAAUAAUAAACCACAACAUCUCACUCACAAAGAGAAACAAUUAAAAAAGUGAUAGCAAUGUCACAAUAUAUAUUAUGUCCCCAGAUUAUGUCCCCCGCCCAAAUUCAAAAUGCUGUGAUCUCAGGAACUCUGUCUGUGAACCAGGAUCUACUAGAACACGUCGAACUCCAUCAGCACAGCCAUUGCCCGUUGCUGAAAACCAAACCAAGAGGGCUGCUCAAGCAAGCAAGAAAAGGUUCGGGUUCAAGGCUGAAGACAGGAUGGUCCAGAAAACAGGACUCUAUUGUAAAUUUACUUCCUUGAGAGAAAAUCGGUCCAUUCAUGUUGCUUAAAGGUUAAUUACCCAAGGAAGAAUCUGCUCUGAGAACUGCCAGCAACAAGCAAAGUGAGGCACCGGAUUUUGGAGCUUUUGUUUGAGGAGGAGAAACCUCCUACCAGUAGCCAUAUAGUUUUCAAAAAUGUCUUACUAUUAGUUUUAGCCUUUCAGCUCUGUAUCCAGUUUUGAAUAGGUCUACUUGUCCAAAAUUUUCCUUUUCCCACAAAGAUGCCUCUUGAGAAGCUCUUCUCUAAACCACACUUGUAUAUCAAAGGCAGAAGGUCUCACUGAUUGCUCUUCUGCUGUAUUUCCCCUUUUGGUUGCUGGCCUUGUUUGAGAUUUAUUUUAGUAUCCCUGUCUUUCUGCCUUUUUUAAUUAUUGUUUUGUUCAGGGCUGUUAUUAGAAAUUGGACUUUUAAAUUUACACUGCAGUUCUUCACAAUACAUUUGGGAGUAACUAUCCUCAGAUAUAUGCCACUGAAUUCAGAAGAAAUUUUCUCUUGGUAGUAAAAGGAGGUUUACAUUAAUUUUUCUCCCGUUGAGUUCUAUUGUUAGCCAUCUUGGAAGUUUUAUAUAAAAAGAAGAAUGUAGGUGACCUAGUUAAUGAUGCAAAGUCUGUAGCCACAAAAAGUAAUUGUCCCGUUAUUGUUGCAUCUGGGGCUGAUGACCACUGAAUUGUUAAUUAUGAUUUUGGAUCAAUUACUCUUGUUAAAGAUGCAGGUGUUCUUCUGGACUACAUCCCCAGUCCCAGUGAGACUCUUGGACCUCCUCAGGUUCACGCUGACUUUCCUGUCCUAAUGGUGCAUCCAUCUCUACCCUUCUGCCAUAGAUUCAACGCAGCUGCCAAUGAAUUGAAGAUGGGGAGAGCGCAAGGGCUUUCCAAGUUCAGUAUCAAAAGGGGCGGAGCUUUGUUCAUGUGGUCACACCUUGAUGGUUUUUAGACUCUCCCCCCCCCCGGCUAUUGGCUGGCCUACAGGGCUCAAUUCUUGGCAACAAAAGCAGGUGAGAACAACAGCAAUUGCGUUAUCUGUCUGUCGGGUUUGACAAAGGACUUCCUUUCUGCCACAUGAUAGUCAUGCACUUUACCAUGUAUAGCUCCUUGCUACGCUCUCUAGUACAGCCAAUUUCCCACAUCACCAUCUUUGAGGGAAAAAAAUCUAAAUGGGAGAAAAAUCAGUUCUUAUAUCAGAUUCUACAGCAAGAUGCUGUGCCCAGCAGUGUUUAAAACCAAUGGAGUGGACCUCCAGCUGCAGGAAAUCUGUGGAAAUGUGAUCCAGAUAAUUGGGUCACCUAAGAACGUCUGGGACUACGUGGCAUCUCCUUCUAAUUUCUCACUUAACAAAGCUCUCUUUGCAACAAGCUGCUAUUUGGAUCCAUUUUCAAUAUUCAGAAAAGUUUUUAUGAGGGAAAUCGCAAACCAGGACACAAAUGAAAAACUCUAUUCUGUUGGCAAAGAUGUUGUCCAAGCUGCACAUUAGGAAUAGCAAAGACAAGCUGUCCUGGGCUCCCUUAACUGCUGGCACUGAGAAAUAUUCGGAGUGGUCUACAGUUUCAAGUAAAAUCUUGCUCACCUGCUGACCUUGACGAGCGAAGGAUCUGUCACAGAGGUCCCCAGUUCCUCAGCCAGGGGCAGGAGGGGAGCAGCGUUGGUCCAAGAAGUGUGCCAGCUUUAUACGUUUCUUAAAUGAUCAUGUUAUUUAUCGGAUUUCUCUCCCGCUUUUCUUAUUAAGUCAAGGUGGCGAACAUACAUAACUCUCCUCCCUCUUUUUUUUCCACACAAAAACUCUGUGAGGUGGCUUGGGCUGACAGAUACAGACUGGCCCACCUGUCCAUUUCUGACUUAAUUUAUUGCUAUAGGGGUAGCUCCUCAGUGACUCUGCACAGUUAGGACCGACUUUAUCACUCGGAUUCAAAGUUCCAACAGUUAUCCCCCCCCCCAGCUUUGUGACCGAAUUUCAGGUGCUCAGCAACACAGUUACUGUACAUUUAUGGCCAUUUGCCUCAACCUGCAGUCACAUGACCAUAGGUUUUGCGAACCAUUGGUUGACUUAUCAAGUACGGUGUUUGCAUAGCAACCACAGAUUCACUUAACGGCCACUGCAAAAAAGUUAUAAAGUCAUUUAAAAAAUCAUUUUUCAAACAUUACGGCUUACAACUAUGAUAGGAAGAUCCAUUAUGUCAAGGAAUACCCCUACUCUUCUUGGGGACUCACAGCAGGCAAGAGAGGGUCCCAGAUGUAGAUGGACGCUCAUCAGGGAGAGAAGCAAGCUAGAACUAAGGAGAAAUGUCCGGACAGUGAGAACAAUCAACCAGCGGAAUGGCUUGUCUCCAGAAGUGGUGGGUGCUCCAUCAAGAAGAGACUGGACAAUCACUUGUCUGAAAUGGUACACAGGGUCUCCUGCUUUAGCAAGGGGUUGGACUAGAAGACCUUCAAGGUCUCUUCCAACUUUAUUCAGCAGAAAAGGAGAAUGGAGGAGAGGAAAUAAAAGUCAGGAACAUUCACCACAAUCCUACAUGUCCAGUUGGUCAGAAAUGUCCAGAGAUUGAGCCCCGCUUACAAGGAAGAGUCAUUGUCAGAUUAGCUCCUCUAAGGAAAUCCAUGCCGUCGUCGUUGCUAGGAGAUCCCAGACAUUUUCUUUCUCGGCCGCCCAGGGGCAUCUGCAAUGCCAAACCCUGGAAGACGGUGGGCACAGCAUUGCAAGUGAAGCCCCCUCCCUUUCUAAAUCUGAAUGAACCCAGAUACCUCGACACCUUUUUUAAAAAAAAAACUUUGUGGUAAAACACGUUAAAAUAAAUUACAUUGGUUGAGCAGUAGCUAGAAUGAAAAUUGGGAAAUGAUUAUUUUGUCAAACUCGGCCUGAGAAAGGCUCCCAGUUCUGCUAUGUUCCACCAGCCGUUUCCGUCAGAUUAUAAUCAUCCCUUGGAGUCUGGCUCUGGCCCAGCAGGCUCUUCUGAAGGGGCCUUCCGUGGAUUCCUGCCUUAUUCUGCUCCUAAUUAAUUGAUGUUCUUAACGUUCAGUUGAUCUUGUUCCUUUCACUCAUUUAUAGGGAGAGAACAGCAAGAUAACAUAAAGUUGAAUUGCAUAUAAAUGUAGCUUUCUGUUGCUUGUUAAUCUUCUCUUGUGGUUUCCGUCCCAAGAACAAACAAGUGCUCACCUAACUGUCUGGUUUACUCACAAUCCCUCCAAACAUCAGGUCGGUGUUUCUCAACCAUCUGUCCCAAAGGGUACAGGGUUUCCUGCCUGAGCAGGGAGUUGGACUAGAUGACCUCCAAGGUCCCUUCCAACUCUGCUAUUCUCUUAUGCUGAUCUUGCUUUCCAGAUGUACACCAGAAAGUAAUAUUUUAAUCUGGUCUUCGUGCUCCUCCCAAUGGAGUCCGAGCAAAGCCGACUUCAUUUAUUCUGACUUUACACUUUCAGCUAAUUUAGUGAAAUUUGAACACCCUCGUCCUGUACCUUGUAGAAACAAGAAACUGCUUUGGGUAGCUUAGCCCCCUCCAGAAAACAAUCCUAUGAUAAUCUGCCAUUUCAACAAAAGUGUAAUAUGGGAAGAAAGGCAAUGCUGUUUUUUUAAAGCACUGUUGAGUGUUUACUUUAAAAUCAAAUAAUACCAUUUGAAAUUCCAAAUAAAAAGGAAGUUUGGUAUCUAAAUUGCUCUACCCAAGCUCAAAAAAUAGUAAUAUGAAUUAAUGAUUGACCUGAGGUUUAUUCAUCUGUUUGCUCUGGUAUUCAUAAAAAUGCACAGUUGCCUUAGCAACCAGUACAUCAUACAGAUUUUCAUCUAUCCUUGAUCUAAAGUGCACUCUCUUAAAGAAAGGCACACAGUUUCUCAUGAGAACGCUUUCCCCCUUUCUCCCACCCUUGUUUGGAAAGGAAGAAGUAAUGAAUUGGCCAUUCUUUAAUGGGCCCAUUUUGAUUUUUUCUCGCCUCGGCAAACAGUCUCUGAUGGAGAAAUGUUGUGCAGUUGCUUUCUGAAAGACUCUAGCAGCACCGUCCUUCGCUUGAUGUUCAGAAUGUCGCUGAGUCUUCUGAAGCACAUUGCCUGGACAUCAGUGGACAUGGAACUGAAAUUGCAGUGUGAACUGGGGCCUUUGCCCGUGUUUAUGGGGUAGGACUUGGGGUAUGUGUUCAUAGCCACCAUCUUGACUUUUCUGAUACACAAGGAGGCCUCUUGAUUUAAUCAACAUCUCUUCUCACAGAUGUAUUUUACCUGUUUACAGCAAGAAAACGUUUGAGACACGAACUGCAUUGACAAGGACAAUAAGGCAGGACGCCUGAGGUUAAGCUCCAUGCAAUUGCCAGCACAUCAAUCAGCCCUAUUCUGCUUUUGCCUAUUCCUACAGCGACUAAAUCCGUGUUUGUCAGCCUUGACAAUUUUAAACUGUGUGGACGUCAACUCCCAGAAUUCCAUAGCUAGCAGGCUGUCUGAGGAAUUCUGAGAGUUGAAGCCGAUAUAGCUUUUAGGGCCCCAACCUAACAGCAAAAUUGACCCAGGCAGAUUAAGAAAUAUCUGCAGUUCCCACAUUCGCACUACUAGCCAUUCAUCUAAAAUGACUCAUUUUCCAUUUGUGGAAGCUUUCUGCUUCUCUGUACUGACAAGAAUCAUUUGAUUAAGUUGAUCACCAGUGGAUGCUUAAAGCCCCCAAAGAGAUCUUUUACCUUUUUAAUGUCAAAACGUAUCACUGAAUUAAAAAAUUAUGAGAAAUUGUACUAUGUAUCUGGUGUCUCAAUAUCAAACUAAUCAUUCUUGUGGGACUCACAUGUACAGCUGCCAUAUUUCACAUAUAUUUUGCACAACAAUAAAUUUCUACUCUUAAAACUCAAACCUGCAUUCAUUAAAUAGCUGGCAGAAGAAAUAGUCAGGUAAGUUGUUUUAUUGCAGAAAAGAAGGAAGUCAUAUAUAUGUGUGGGCUUCCAAAAUGCUUUCAAAGCAUUUUCCACACCUAAAAUGUCAAGGAAGAUUAAUUUUUAAAGAGAAGCAAAGGAGUCCCUUAUGUGAGCUGAAGACUCUGCGUCCUCUUUGAGAAGCAAACCUCCUGGGCGGGAAUACUAAUACCGUCAACAAGCCAGGGUUUUCUUGGAGACAUACAUGCGUUUUGUAUUGCAUGCUGAAGAUCUCGGGCAAUAGAGGACUCAGUUUUCCACCAUACUCUUCCCUUGUUGUCCAGUGUCCCCUUAAUGACAUUUUCAGUUAAAAACAAAAAAAA